UUAAAAAACAGCCACCCAUUUCCUUUCAAACUUCAUCACAGAGAACAUGUUUUCAGCACAGAUGAAGUUUUGGGUAGUUCAGCUGAUUAUUAG